GAACGCUGGCGGCAGGCCUAACACAUGCAAGUCGAACGGUAACAGGAAGAAGCUUGCUUCUUUGCUGACGAGUGGCGGACGGGUGAGUAAUGUCUGGGAAACUGCCUGAUGGAGGGGGAUAACUACUGGAAACGGUAGCUAAUACCGCAUAACGUCGCAAGACCAAAGAGGGGGACCUUCGGGCCUCUUGCCAUCGGAUGUGCCCAGAUGGGAUUAGCUAGUAGGUGGGGUAAAGGCUCACCUAGGCGACGAUCCCUAGCUGGUCUGAGAGGAUGACCAGCCACACUGGAACUGAGACACGGUCCAGACUCCUACGGGAGGCAGCAGUGGGGAAUAUUGCACAAUGGGCGCAAGCCUGAUGCAGCCAUGCCGCGUGUAUGAAGAAGGCCUUCGGGUUGUAAAGUACUUUCAGCGGGGAGGAAGGGAGUAAAGUUAAUACCUUUGCUCAUUGACGUUACCCGCAGAAGAAGCACCGGCUAACUCCGUGCCAGCAGCCGCGGUAAUACGGAGGGUGCAAGCGUUAAUCGGAAUUACUGGGCGUAAAGCGCACGCAGGCGGUUUGUUAAGUCAGAUGUGAAAUCCCCGGGCUCAACCUGGGAACUGCAUCUGAUACUGGCAAGCUUGAGUCUCGUAGAGGGGGGUAGAAUUCCAGGUGUAGCGGUGAAAUGCGUAGAGAUCUGGAGGAAUACCGGUGGCGAAGGCGGCCCCCUGGACGAAGACUGACGCUCAGGUGCGAAAGCGUGGGGAGCAAACAGGGAUUAGGAUACCCUGGUAGUCCACGCCGUAAAACGAUGUCGACUUGGAGGUUGUGCCCUUGAGGCGUGGCUUCCGGAGCUAACGCGUUAAGUCGACCGCCUGGGGAGUACGGCCGCAAGGUUAAAACUCAAAUGAAUUGACGGGGGCCCGCACAAGCGGUGGAGCAUGUGGUUUAAUUCGAUGCAACGCGAAGAACCUUACCUGGUCUUGACAUCCACAGAACCUUGUAGAGAUACGAGGGUGCCUUCGGGAACUGUGAGACAGGUGCUGCAUGGCUGUCGUCAGCUCGUGUUGUGAAAUGUUGGGUUAAGUCCCGCAACGAGCGCAACCCUUAUCCUUUGUUGCCAGCGGUCCGGCCGGGAACUCAAAGGAGACUGCCAGUGAUAAACUGGAGGAAGGUGGGGAUGACGUCAAGUCAUCAUGGCCCUUACGACCAGGGCUACACACGUGCUACAAUGGCGCAUACAAAGAGAAGCGACCUCGCGAGAGCAAGCGGACCUCAUAAAGUGCGUCGUAGUCCGGAUUGGAGUCUGCAACUCGACUCCAUGAAGUCGGAAUCGCUAGUAAUCGUGGAUCAGAAUGCCACGGUGAAUACGUUCCCGGGCCUUGUACACACCGCCCGUCACACCAUGGGAGUGGGUUGCAAAAGAAGUAGGUAGCUUAACCUUCGGGAGGGCGCUUACCACUUUGUGAUUCAUGACUG
rnacentral:rRNA from 1 species